rnacentral:misc_RNA from 1 species
AAGACUAUAGACCUGCGGAGUACCUGCGGAAGGAUCAUUACUGAGUGAGGGCCCUCUGGGUCCAACCUCCCACCCGUGUUUAUCGUACCUUGUUGCUUCGGCGAGCCCGCCUCACGGCCGCCGGGGGGCAUCUGCCCCCGGGCCCGCGCUCGCCGAAGACACCAUUGAACGCUGUCUGAAGAUUGCAGUCUGAGCAGAUUAGCUAAAUCAGUUAAAACUUUCAACAAUGGAUCUCUAGAU